rnacentral:rRNA from 1 species
AGUGGCGGACGGGUGAGUAACGCGUAAGAAUCUAACUUCAGGACGGGGACAACAGUGGGAAACGACUGCUAAUACCCGAUGUGCCGCGAGGUGAAACCUAAUUGGCCCGAAGAAGAGCUUGCGUCUGAUUAGCUAGUUGGUGGGGUAAGAGCCUACCAAGGCGACGAUCAGUAGCUGGUCUGAGAGGAUGAGCAGCCACACUGGGACUGAGACACGGCCCCGACUCCUACGGGAGGCAGCAGUGGGGAAUUUUCCGCAAUGGGCGAAAGCCUGACGGAGCAACGCCGCGUGAGGGAGGAAGGUCUUUGGAUUGUAAACCUCUUUUCUCAAGGAAGAAGUUCUGACGGUACUUGAGGAAUCAGCCUCGGCUAACUCCGUGCCAGCAGCCGCGGUAAUACGGGGGAGGCAAGCGUUAUCCGGAAUUAUUGGGCGUAAAGCGUCCGCAGGUGGUCAGCCAAGACUGCCGUCAAAUCAGGUUGCUUAACGACCUAAAGGCGGUGGAAACUGGCAGACUAGAGAGCAGUAGGGGUAGCAGGAAUUCCCAGUGUAGCGGUGAAAUGCGUAGAGAUUGGGAAGAACAUCGGUGGCGAAAGCGUGCUACUGGGCUGUAUCUGACACUCAGGGACGAAAGCUAGGGGAGCGAAAGGGAUUAGAUACCCCUGUAGUCCUAGCCGUAAACGAUGGAUACUAGGCGUGGCUU